rnacentral:rRNA from 1 species
UACAGAGAUCCCAAGCGUUGUUCGAAUUCACUGAGCGUAAAGGGUGCGUAGACGAUUUAAUAAGUCUGAUGUGAAAUCCCGCAGCUUAACUGCGGAACUGCAUUGGAAACUAUUUGACUAGAGGAAUGGAGGGGAGACUGGAAUACUUGGUGUAGCAGUGAAAUGCGUAGAUAUCAAAUGGAACACCAGUGGCGAAGGCGAGUCUCUGGACAUUUCCUGACGCUGAGGCACGAAAGCCAGGGGAGCAAACGGG